AUCAUUAUAAUUACUAGGUUGAUAGAGACACCAUUAUUCCUAUUACUAUUUCUUGCGCUAUCUCUACAACCUUCCCCAUGACGUAACCAUACAUAGUAGUUUGCUAUAAAUCCUCUAUUAUAUAAAUGCUUACUCACCAAAUUAAAAUCCAAAUAUUUAUUAUUGAGGCACUUACGACAUGGGCAGAAUAUUAUACCGUUCUCACGAGCAAAUGAUUCGUUUGUUGCUUGAUACAUGAAACUAUGCAAUCCAUCAACAAACUCUCUCGUCACAUCACUGAUCGAUGGAUCUCUAUGGUUGUACAUCCAUCUCUGCAAUGUGUAGAUUUCAUGUUCUCCUCCAAAAGACAUUUUUAAACUGUUU
rnacentral:sRNA from 1 species